AUCCUUUUUGGUUCAUAAGCAUGGUGAUUGGGUGUUCAUGCUGUUGUGUGAGAUGUGCCUCCCUCUAAGCCUGUUUUGAAGUUGGCCUGUUAACCCAUCUGACA
rfam:Ictidomys tridecemlineatus contig024499, whole genome shotgun sequence.